UGGGUACUUUGGCAGCCGGUUAUAAACGGUUUUUAAGUCAUAUUUACCCCCAUUUCCAAGGAAAAACACAAAUACCCAAUGAGAAAUCAAAGAUCCAAAACUCUCUUCUCUUCCAAAAUUCACUCAAACUUCCAUUGGAGGACAAGCUCAAGAUCAAGAUCGAAGAUGAAUUUUCAAGUGCUUUCUUCUCCAAAUUUAAUCUGAUUUUAUUCUAUUAAGGUGGUGAUCGCCAGAGGAUCUUUCAUAGAAUUAGGAGCUUCGAUUCAUAUUCCCAUGUUAAAGUGUAUCCUUAAUGAUUCAAUAACCUUCAUGUCAUGAAUUUUAAUUAAGCUUAUGCUAUAGUUUAGAUUACUCUUUUAUAUUGUUAAGGGUCGUGUCCCUAUUUUGUUCUAUUGGAGUUGUGUCUUCAGAUUGCAAGACGAAUCUUAAUGUCAUAACUAUUUACUUAAGAAUUUUAAAUGAAGUGAUGUUUUAGCAUUGUAA